rnacentral:snoRNA from 1 species
UGCACCAGUGAUGAUGGCUGGUGGUGUAGGAGUAAGUCACGGAUGAUGGAUAUUACGUGUGGAACUCUCAGAUCCGA